UACAGAGGGGGCUAGCGUUGCUCGGAAUCACUGGGCGUAAAGGGCGCGUAGGCGGCCAUUCAAGUCGGGGGUGAAAGCCCAGGGCUCAACCCUGGAAUUGCCUUCGAUACUGUUUGGCUAGAGACCGGAAGAGGUAAGUGGAACUGCGAGUGUAGAGGUGAAAUUCGUAGAUAUUCGCAAGAACACCAGUGGCGAAGGCGGCUUACUGGUCCGGUUCUGACGCUGAGGCGCGAAAGCGUGGGGAGCAAACAGG
rnacentral:rRNA from 1 species